rnacentral:rRNA from 1 species
UACAGAGGUCCCAAGCGUUGUUCGGAUUCACUGGGCGUAAAGGGUGCGUAGGUGGCUUGGUAAGUUCGAUGUGAAAUCUCCGGGCUUAACCCGGAAAUGGCAUUGAAUACUAUUGAGCUGGAGGUUUGGAGGGGGGACUGGAAUUCUCGGUGUAGCAGUGAAAUGCGUAGAUAAUCGAGAGGAACACCAGUGGCAAAGGCGAGUCCCUGGACAACACCUGACACUGAGGCACGAAAGCUGGGGGAGCAAACAGG